rnacentral:antisense_RNA from 1 species
GUGACCGUGGAGUCGUGGCGGGCGUCCGGGUCCAGCAGGGCGUCCUCACCGAAGUGGUCGCCGUCCGCGAGGACCGCGAGGACGAUCUCCCCGCCGUACUUGCCCUCGGCGGUCCGGCUGAGCCGGCCGUGGGCGAUGAGGUGGAUCCGGUCCGCGGGGCUACCGCGUUCGACGACGACCUCGCCGGCCGCGACGUCGCGCUGGACGCAGCGGUCCGCGAGGGCGGAGAGGACGUCGGUGUCCUCGAAGCCGCGCAGCAGGGCGAGUUCGCCGAGCUCCCGGGGGAUCACCCGGACCGUGGCGCCCUCCUGCACGAACUCGAUGCGGCCGUCGCCGACGGUGUGGCGCAGGCGCCGGUUGACCCGGUAGGCACCGCCCUCGGCCUCCACCCAGGGCAGCAUCCGCAGCAGCCAGCGGGAGGUGAUCUCCUGCAUCUGCGGGGCGGACUUGGUCGUGUGGGCGAGGGUGCGGGCGGCGGCGGUGCUGAGGGACUGCCG